rnacentral:rRNA from 1 species
UACGGGGGGGGCAAGCGUUGUUCGGAAUUACUGGGCGUAAAGGGCUCGUAGGUGGCCAACUAAGUCGGACGUGAAAUCCCUCGGCUUAACCGGGGAACUGCAUCUGAUACUGGAUGGCUUGAGUUCGGGAGAGGGAUGCGGAAUUCCAGAUGUAGCGGUGAAAUGCGUAGAUAUCUGGAGGAACACCGGUGGCGAAGGCGGCAUCCUGGACCGACACUGACGCUGAGGAGCGAAAGCCAGGGGAGCAAACGGG